rnacentral:rRNA from 1 species
UACAGAGGUCUCAAGCGUUGUUCGGAUUCAUUGGGCGUAAAGGGUGCGUAGGCGGCGCGGUAAGUCGGGUGUGAAAUCUCGGAGCUUAACUCCGAAACUGCAUUCGAUACUGCCGUGCUUGAGGACUGGAGAGGAGACUGGAAUUUACGGUGUAGCGGUGAAAUGCGUAGAUAUCGUAAGGAAGACCAGUGGCGAAGGCGGGUCUCUGGACAGUUCCUGACGCUGAAGCACGAAGGCCAGGGGAGCAAACAGG